rnacentral:misc_RNA from 1 species
AAGUCGUAACAAGGUUUUCGUAGGUGAACCUGCGGAAGGAUCAUUAGUGAAUUUAUGGGAGUCCCUCUUAAUCGGAGAAGGCCCAAUCCACUUUUUUCAAACCCUAGUGCAUUUGUCCCCUUUUACCUUUAACCCUUUUUGCAUUUGAAAAGGUUGUUGUGUUGAUAACAUUUGAUAAAUGAAAGAAAAACUUUCAGCAAUGGAUCUCUUGGCUCUC